rnacentral:lncRNA from 15 species
AUGCUCCAAUUAACUCAAAACGCUGCAGCACAGGUAUGGACAGGAACUAGAAAAAGAGAUCACAUCUCUCCUGUACUAGCUUCUCUGCACUGGCUCCGUGUAAAAUUUCGAAUAGAAUUUCAAAUCCUCCUACUCAUCUAUAAAGCUCUUCAUGGUCAGGCCCCUUCAUAUCGUAAAGAGCUCAUAGUACCCUAUGACCCCACUAGAACACUACGUUCUCUGAAUGCUGGGCUACUUGUGGUUCCUAUAGUCUCUAAAAGUAGAACAGGAGCCAGAGCCUUCAGUUACCAAGCUCCUCUCCUGUGGAACCAGCUUCCAUUUGUGGUUCGGGAGGCAGACACCCUCUCCACAUUCAAGAUUAUGGAGAGCCGACUGAACUCACUGCAGGAACAACUGAACACGUCUGAGAGAAACCAGCUCAGUCCCAUACAGGAUCAGCUGUCAUUGAUCAGCAGCAGACUGAACUCCAGUCAACCUUACCUGGAUAAGCUGAACAGAAACUCUGCAGAUCAAACGGGUCGACUGACAUCUGUAGAGACACGAUUGGAUGAGCUGAAGACAGAAAACACAGAGCUAGAGGGAAAAUUGAGAUCCACUGAGACAAAGCUGGAGAAUCACGCUGCAGCUCUGGAGGUCAGACUGAGUGUCAGUGAGAAACAGCUGGAAGACCUGAAAACAGAAAACACAGUUCAGUCUGUUCAACUUUCCUUGAUGGAGUCCAGACUGACAGACAGCCACAACAGCACUACAGCUCUGGAGGGCAAACUGAGAUCCACUGAGACAAAGCUGGAGAAUCACGCUGCAGCUCUGGAGGUCAGACUGAGUGUCAGUGAGAAACAGCUGGAAGACCUGAAAACAGAAAACACAGGUAACACACUGAAGGUGUCAAACUCAUUGUAGAUUAAUCUAUGUAAAAAAA